UACGGGGGGGGCAAGCGUUGUUCGGAAUUACUGGGCGUAAAGGGCUCGUAGGUGGCCAACUAAGUCAGACGUGAAAUCCCUCGGCUUAACCGGGGAACUGCGUCUGAUACUGGAUGGCUUGAGUUCGGGAGAGGGAUGCGGAAUUCCUGGUGUAGCGGUGGAAUGCGCAGAUAUCAGGAGGAACACCGAUGGCGAAGGCAGGUCACUGGGC
rnacentral:rRNA from 1 species